GACCUCAAAUCAGGUAGGAGUACCCGCUGAACUUAAGCAUAUCAAUAAGCGGAGGAAAAGAAAAUAACAAUGAUUCCCCUAGUAACUGCGAGUGAAGAGGGACAAGCUCAAAUUUUAAAUCUGUUAGGUUUACCUAACCGAGUUGUAAUUUGAAGAGGCGUUUUCUGUGUUUUUGAUCAGCCCAAGUCCUUUGGGAUAGGGCAUCAUGGAGGGUGAGAAUCCCGUUCGGUUGAUCAGAUUCGCUUUACGAUACGUCAUCUAAGAGUCAAGUUGUUUGGGAUUGCAGCUUAAAAUGGGAGGUAAAUUUCUCCUAAGGCUAAAUAACGGCGAGAGACCGAUAGCGAACAAGUACCGUGAGGGAAAGAUGAAAAGAACUUUGAAAAGAGAGUUAAACAGUACGUGAAAUUGUUGAAAGGGAAACGAUUGAAGCCAGUCGUACCUUCGGGUAAUCAGCCUUUCGGGUGCGAUUCUGUGGAGCGUGGGGAGUUAAACGCCUUCAUGCCUGCAUAUUCGUGCACUUUGGGUGUACUUGCCCGUGUGGUAGGUUAACAUCAAUUUCGGAUGUCAUAAAAUGGCUGGAGGAAUGUAGCUUCGGUCUCGUACUGAAGUGUUAUAGCCUUUGGUAGAUGUGAUGACCGGGAUUGAGGAUUGCAACGAAUACCUUUUGGGCUAUCCGUCUGAUCUCUGAAAGUUGCUCUGGUGCCGAAAGCUUGCUUACGGUUAUCAAAGUUGACGUUCAAAAGGUUAGAACGGGUUAAAUUCGUUAAGGAUGUUGACGUAAUGGCUUUAAACGACCCGUCUUGAAACACGGACC
rnacentral:rRNA from 1 species